CAAUAGCGUAUAUUAAAGUUGUUGCAGUUAAAACGCUCGUAGUUGAACAUCUGCCCUUUUCCGGUUAGGUCCGCUCUGCGUGCACCUUCCGAAAUCGGCAUCCGUCUGCGUUGCUUCGCAUUGCAGACCGUUCACUUUGAGGAAAUUAGAGUGUUCAAAGCAGGCUUACGCCUUGAAUGCUUCAGCAUGGAAUGAUUGAUAGGACUUCUAUCCUAUCUUGGUUCUAGGGACAGAAGUAAUGGUAAACAGGGUUGGUUGGGGGCAUUCGUACUGAACAGUCAGAGGUGAAAUUCUUAGAUUUGUUCAAGACGAACAACUGCGAAAGCAUUUGCCAAGGACGACCCCAUUAA
rnacentral:rRNA from 1 species